GACGAACGCUGGCGGCGCGCUUAACACAUGCAAGUCGAGCGAGAACCAGUCCUUCGGGGCUGGGGACAGCGGCGAACGGGUGAGUAACACGUGAGUAAUCCACCCUCGGUACCGGAAUAGCCCGGGGAAACCCGGAUUAAUGCCGGAUGGCCCAUCUGUUCUUCGGAAUUUGAUGGAAAAGGUAGCUUCGGCCUCCGACCGGGGACGAGCUCGCGGCGGAUUAGCUUGUUGGCGGGGUAACGGCCCACCAAGGCGACGAUCCGUAGCUGGUCUGGGAGGACGAUCAGCCACACUGGGACUGAGACACGGCCCAGACUCCUACGGGAGGCAGCAGUGGGGAAUCUUGCGCAAUGGGCGAAAGCCUGACGCAGCGACGCCGCGUGAGGGAAGAAGGCCUUCGGGUUGUAAACCUCUUUCAGGAGGGACGAAGCCACUCGGGUGAAUAGCCCAGAGGGUGACGGUACCUCCAGAAGAAGCCCCGGCUAACUACGUGCCAGCCGCCGCAGUAA
rnacentral:rRNA from 1 species